rnacentral:ncRNA from 1 species
UUGUCUUCAGGGCGGGGUGAAACUCCCCACCGGCAGUAAAGUCUGCGAGCCUUUGGCAGGAAUCGGUGCAAUUCCGAUACCGACGGUACAGUCCGGAUGAAAGAAGAUG